rnacentral:lncRNA from 1 species
UUAGGUUUGGUUUGCGAAAAUGUUGCGAAUGCAUACGCUAUAGCCACAAACGCACAUGCAUUCGCAAGAUUCGCAGUCGCGUAUGCCAUUCGCAAUCCCUUGCGUUUGACGAUAUGCUCGCGUUAAAAGUCACCUGGUCACGUUUACGAUCGCGUAAAGUUUGCGUUAGUUGCUUAAGCUAACGCACUGCCAGCCAAGCUCGUCCGCAUGCGAAUAAAGAUGACGUGCGUUAGGCCAUACGCACAAGGCGAACCGGUGCGUUAUCAGUGCUUAAAAUCGCGUUACAUCGCGUUAAACUCGCGUUAAAGCCUCGUAACGCGAAUUUAACGCGACGUAACGCGACCACCCGUUGUCAUAGUGGUGAUGGCGGCGACGGCGGCGGGGAGUGCUGCUGCUGCGGUGGCAGCGGCUGCAGGUGGCCCAGUGGCUGCAGUGCGGCUAUGGUGGCUGCCGUGGACCAAUCUGUCUGUCUCUCUGUCUUUCUGUCUCUCAAGUGGUAAGGUAAACCGGUCAGUGCUAUGAGAGCUCUCCCUGACGGAUGGACCAGACGGGAUGAUGGCCAGACGAGGUCACCGGCGUGGCAAUGCAAAAGUUCAGUUCAGGUACAUACCGACAGAGCUGCGGCGAGGGUGGAGAAGGUGACAUGUUAGCACCUCAGCUGGAGGUGUUGACAAGCACUGGGAUUGGUCCAUGGUGCCAUUUUGGAGCAGUAGAAGGGACUGGCGGAGCUUCAUGAACCGGUCGCACGUGCUGAUGAAUUAGAAGUUGUGGUCAAGUGAUUUCGGUCACAGACUGUCUGAAUUUCUCUAGUGUUCUUUUGGUUCACUGUUCCGAUAGGAUGCGAACUGCGUCUGGACUGACUUUUUGUUCGGUCUUAUCGUACAAACAAAACCUCCAGGUCCUAUUUGUUCACUAAAGCCGCAAAAUGGCUUUUCCGCUGAUUGUAACAACUGUUGAAAACUGACCAGCA